rnacentral:rRNA from 1 species
UACGGGGGGAGCAAGCGUUGUUCGGAUUUACUGGGCGUAAAGGGCGCGUAGGCGGCACUGCAAGUCAGUUGUGAAAUCUCCGGGCUUAACCCGGAAAGGUCAACUGAUACUGCAGGGCUAGAGUGCAGAAGGGGCAACUGGAAUUCUCGGUGUAGCGGUGAAAUGCGUAGAUAUUAUGGGGAACACCAAAAGCGAAGGCAGCAGACUGGAGCACUCCUGACACUGAAACAAGAAAGCGUGGGUCGCGAAUGGG